AAUGGACGUUGGCGGCGUGGAUUAGGCAUGCAAGUCGAGCGAGAAGCUUAAGAAAGAUACUUCGGUUGAUUUCUUGAGUGGACAGCGGCGAAAGGGAGAGUAACGAGUAGAUUACGUACCCGAGGGUCCGGGAUAGCUGCGGGAAACUGCAGGUAAUACCGGAUAAUGUUUCCGAACCAAAGAUUUAUUGCCCUCGGAGCGGUCUGCUUACUAUUAGCUUGUUGGUGGGGUAAGAGCCCACCAAGGCAAAGAUGGUUAGCGGGUGUGUGAGCAUGGCCCGUCUCACUGGGACUGAGACACUGCCCAGACGUCUACGGACGGCUGCAGUCGAGAAUCUUCCGCAAUGGGCGAAAGCCUGACGGAGCGACGCCGCGUGCGGGAUGAAGGCCUUCGGGUUGUAAACCGCUGUCAGAGGGGAGCAAAUUUUGAGCGAUCCUCAGAGGAAGCACAGGCUAAGUUCGUGCCAGCAGCCGCGGUAAUACGAACUGUGCGAACGUUAUUCGGAAUCACUGGGCUU
rnacentral:rRNA from 1 species